GAGUAAUGUCUGGGAAACUGCCUGAUGGAGGGGGAUAACUACUGGAAACGGUAGCUAAUACCGCAUAACGUCGCAAGACCAAAGAGGGGGACCUUCGGGCCUCUUGCCAUCGGAUGUGCCCAGAUGGGACUAGCUAGUAGGUGGGGUAAAGGGCUCACCUAGGCGACGAUCCCUAGCUGGUCUGAGAGGAUGACCAGCCACACUGGAACUGAGACACGGUCCAGACUCCUACGGGAGGCAGCAUG
rnacentral:rRNA from 1 species